GGCCUCUCAGGGUCAUACCUGGAGAGUUUCCAAUACUCUACCAGUCACGACUACAGGAGGGAGAGUCAAGCAGAGGCAUACCCUUUCCAUUCCUAGCUUGGGCAGUGACUAGUGAGCGGAAGGCAAUCUGCUACAAGU
rfam:Ornithorhynchus anatinus chromosome X1, whole genome shotgun sequence.